AUUGAACGCUGGCGGCAUGCCUUACACAUGCAAGUCGAACGGCAGCACGGGGCAACCUGGUGGCGAGUGGCGAACGGGUGAGUAAUGCAUCGGAACGUGCCAUUGAGUGGGGGAUAACGUAGCGAAAGUUGCGCUAAUACCGCAUAUUCUGUGAGCAGGAAAGCAGGGGACCGCAAGGUCUUGCGCUCUUUGAGCGGCCGAUGUCAGAUUAGCUAGUUGGUGAGGUAACGGCUUACCAAGGCGACGAUCUGUAGCGGGUCUGAGAGGAUGAUCCGCCACACUGGAACUGAGACACGGUCCAGACUCCUACGGGAGGCAGCAGUGGGGAAUUUUGGACAAUGGGCGCAAGCCUGAUCCAGCCAUGCCGCGUGAGUGAAGAAGGCC
rnacentral:rRNA from 1 species